rnacentral:pre_miRNA from 1 species
UUUUAAAUUUUAUCAAUUUCUACUAUUAAAAAUUGGCGUAGUUGAUAGAUUAACUUGACAAUUACGAGUUGUAUGCCAUGUGUACCUCAUUUUGAUGUAUAUGGACCAAUUUUUAACAGUAUAAAAAGAUAGGACAUUUAACA